rnacentral:rRNA from 1 species
UGAGGAAUAUUGCACAAUGGGCGAAAGCCUGAUGCAGCAACGCCGCGUGCGGGACGAAGGCCUUCGGGUCGUAAACCGCUUUUCUGAGGGACGAGCAAGGAAGGUACCUCAGGAAUAAGUCUCGGCUAACUACGUGCCAGCAGCCGCGGUAAAACGUAGGAGGCGAGCGUUAUCCGGAUUUACUGGGCGUAAAGCGCACGCAGGUGGCCGUGUAAGUCGGACAUGAAAGCUCCUGGCUUAACUGGGAGAGGUGGUUCGAAACUGCAUGGCUUGAGGUUGGGAGAGGGACGUGGAAUUCCCGGUGUAGUGGUGGAAUGCGUAGAUAUCGGGAGGAACACCAGUGGCGCAAGCGGCGUCCUGGCCCACACCUGACGCUGAGGUGCGAAAGCGUGGGGAGCAAACAGG